rnacentral:ncRNA from 1 species
ACCAUCUUUUUCUUGGGGUUGCACUACUGUCCAAUGAGCACAUAGUGAGGGCAGUACUGCUAACGCCUACAUAACAUGCCUGCAUCAUCUAGAGCUUUGCGUUACCUUGGUACAAUUUUUGGAAGA